rnacentral:rRNA from 1 species
UACGUAGGGUGCGAGCGUUGUCCGGAAUUAUUGGGCGUAAAGGGCUCGUAGGCGGUUUGUCGCGUCGGGAGUGAAAUCCACUGGCUUAACUGGUGGCUUGCUUUCGAUACGGGCAGACUGGAGGUAUGCAGGGGAGAACGGAAUUCCUGGUGUAGCGGUGAAAUGCGCAGAUAUCAGGAGGAACACCGGUGGCGAAGGCGGCAUCCUGGACCGGCAUUGACGCUGAGGAGCGAAAGCCAGGGGAGCAAACGGGG